UACGUAGGCAGCAAGCGUUGUUCGGAGUUACUGGGCGUAAAGGGUGUGUAGGCGGUUCUUUAAGUUUGGUGUGAAAUCUCCCGCUCAACCGGGAGGGUGCGCCGAAAACUGAAGGGCUAGAGUGCGGGAGAGGAGAGUGGAAUUCCUGGUGUAGCGGUGAAAUGCGUAGAUAUCAGGAGGAACACCGGUGGUGUAAACGGCUCUCUGGACCGGUAAC
rnacentral:rRNA from 1 species